GUUUCAGGUCCCCCCAGAACAAGUAGAAUAUGAUGUCCUGGAAGGAUCAGUUCAAAAUUCAUCUUAUGAAAGGGAAGAAUAUAUCCUUGAGGAGUUAUUGCUUGCUGAAUUGUUUCAGGUCCCC